GUAGUGGGCGCAUUCACGAUAGUGUAUCGGAUUUUGAAUUUCUAAGAGGAUUGACAGAUUGAGAGCUCGUUCUUGAUUCGGUGGAUGGUGGUGCAUGUCCGUUUUUAGUUGGUGGAGCGAUUUGUCUGGUUAAUUCCAUUAACGAGCGAGACUCCAGCCUAUCAAAUAGAUGCGUGGUUCUCUGCAAUUAGCACCCUUCUUAGAGGGACGAGCGUCUCCUAGCCGCACGAAAGAUAGCAAUAACAGGUCUGUGAUGCCCUUAGAUGUCCGGGGCCGCACGCGCGCUACAGUGAAGAAAGCAGCGCGUUUUUAUCCCUAUUUGUUAAGACAUUAAGCUUAGAAAAAAGUGGCGUGAGCAAAUACAGAGG
rnacentral:ncRNA from 2 species